UCUUUUAUUGACCGGUUUCUUUGAUCCUAGUGUGUCUUUAUUAUUUAGAAAAAAAAUUAAAAAGUGACCCAGAGCUCCACCCAUUUGCACCUAAAUCCUGGAAUAGGUGAUGACCCCUCACAGCCUGGCUCAGCACAUGCCCCAAACUAAAACAAACAAACUCAUUUGCCAUACAAAUUGUUUACGAUUCAUUAAAAAGCAAAAUCGCAUAACCCAGAGCUGGCAGCUGAGGGAGUCUCCAUGGGCGGAGGGGGCAUUCACUGAGUUGCCUUUGUAUGCUGGGAGGACCAAGCCGGAGGUUCCCACUAUGAGCCGGGAGUCUGAGCAACCAGAUGACACAGGAGCUGUCAUUCCUGUGAGCUGAGCUGGCCUGGGACUGGAGCUAACACCUGUGUGAGAGCAACACUGAAAACUCUUCCUGAGUUUUGUUUGGAAGAUGAGCAACCGUGCGGUUCCCAAGUUCCCACUGGUGAUAUUCUACAUUUCUGUACCGAGAGGCCUUCAACUUUGUUUCCAGGACCCUUGGAAAUGUGAAACUCGACAAGAGCACGUGACUUGAACGCAGUAUGUAAUAACAGCUAACGUUUAUCCAGUGUUUCCUCUCAGCCAGGCGAUGUUCCAAGAGCCUUAAGUAUUUUUUUUCCAGGUAGGUUCCGAUGAGGUAGACUUGUUAUUAACCCUACUUUAUGAUCAGAAACAGAUGCUGGGCAGCAAAGUGUCCUAUUUAGGGUUCUUGAAUUGGAAAUAGAAUGAGGAUAAAGCGCUGAGGUUGAAUUUGGUUCUUUUUACCCCUGGUAUUACCUCUGAGGUCACUUACAAGGUUUAGCACCUGCUCUAUGCCAGGCGUCUCCUAAAAUGCUUUUAGGUGACACAUCUAAAAUGUAUGUAACAGUCCUAGAAGGUUGAUAUUAUUUUCAUUUAUCAGAUUUGAGUCGAAGAGGUAAGAGUCUUACCAAAAGAUUCACGUUAACCAAGAUCAAAGACCAUUCUGGUGUGUUGCAGAACAUCUGUGAUCCUAGGAGGUGCAGGCGAGAGACUUGCACAUGAAAGGCUAAUCUAAACUACAAACAGAAUUUUGCCUUAAAAAUAAAAGAAUAAGAAAGAUUCAACCUACAUCUGCUUGACUAAAAACCAUGCCACCCAAUGUCUUUCCUAGUCCAAGAAAGUAGAUAUAUUGUAUUUCUUUUUGUAGAUUUAGACAUUGGGCUUUCAAAACCCCUCUAGCUUGAAUCACUACAAUCUCAGAAAUCCUGAGAUUAUAAAGGUGCCGCGUUGCUGAGGCUGCAGAGUUCAGUGGAGGGCAAAUGGGCAUCUAACAUUAAAAAAGAAAAGAGACGAGUUCUGUAUUGAAGAGAGAUUAUGUUCUAUUAAUACCUAGGUCUUUCCUCUAACUUUAGUCAGGUGGAAAAAUCCCCCCAAAGAGCUCAGCACACUGCACUACCUCGCUGAGUUCAAGUGACUGUGGUCUCAGUCACAGGGUUUGACAUAGGUGAGGCGGAAGAGUCACCAUAGAAAUGUCAGGAGGUCAGUUCUUCUACAGCCAGACAAAACACCCAGCCCCUGGGGUGGGGGUGGGAGGUAGGCUUUCUUCUCUCUCUCUCUCUCUCUCUCUUUCUUUCUUUCUUUCUUUCUUUCUUUCUUUCUUUCUUUCUUUCUUUCUUCCUUUCUUUCUCUCUCCCUCUAUCUCUUUCUCUCUCUUUCUUUCUUUCUUUCUUUCUUUCUCUCUCUCUCUCUUUCUUUCUUUCUUUCUAUCUAUCUCUUUCUCUCUCUUUCUUUCUUCCUUCCUUCCUUCCUUUCUUUCUUUCUUUCUUUCUUUCUUUCUUAUUUCUUUCUUUUCUUCCUUCCUCCUUUCCUCCCUCCCUCCCUCCCUCCUACCCUACCUCUCUCCUUCCUUCCUUUUGACAAAGGUGGCAAAGCUAUCUGCACAGGUACAUGUCAUUUCUAGGUAUAAGUGUCCGGACUUUAGUAAACUGGUAUCGCAGGCCACCUUGCAGAGUGGCGGAAGAAAAUUCACAAAACAGGAAGAGCAGUAUUGAAGAAAAUAAGGGGUCCAGACAAUCCCAUUCCUCUUGAAUGAUCUACUCUAGGUUUAGUCAUAUUUUUGCCUGUGUGUUUUGCAUGCAAACAUGUAGAUUUUGUCCUUGAAAGAAAUAUUCUGUAUCUUUAAUACAGAAAGUAAGCUUUCUUUUUUCAGUAGGAACUUACCCACCAUGUCCUGCAAAGAAUGUAUUUCCCCCUUCGUAGCAGCUCUUGCACCUCUUGCACCUCGUUUCCAUUUAGAAGUUCCUUGACUUUUAAUCUCUCUGCAUUUUUCUGUUAGCCAGCUGCCACCCAAGAUUGGGCUAAACCCUCGGCCCUUUGUUAAAAUGAGAAGAAAAAAAAAGGAAAGAAAGAAAGAAAAAAAAAGAGAACACAUGCAACGCAAGCUUCUAAUAAGUAUAUUCACAACUUCGAUGCAAGGCGCUUAAGAAAACUAAAAGAAAACGGAGACCAUCGCAGGAAUCCACAGCUGGACACGAUGCAGGCAUCGACAGAUCUCGGGCAGCUCUACCCCAGUGGCUUCCUCUGCAUCACAUUUACAGCUCUGCAAAAAUCACAGAAGAGGGGAUAGGAAGACUGUAAGAGCGAAACACAAGGAGUUUGGCUGUGAAACAGUCUUUCCUAGAAAUGUCUGCAUAAACGAAAUCUGAACAGUGGCAAUCUCAGCAGUAUAUUGACGUGGAAGAGAAAACCAAACCUCACAGGAUCACAUCCGUGGAUAAGACAACUGAUGACUGCUGGGAAUGAGAGAGUUAUCCUCUAUCAGGGAUGAGCUCUCUGAUCAGCUAUCCAAUACAAACAGUAUCCCUGAAACUGUACCUACACAAACUACAGAACGGACCCAGCAGGUUGUAUUUAUAGAUUUGUGCAAAAAAACCCAUGUAGCAAUAAUAAUGUCACAAGAAGAGGCUAUCAGUCUGAACGUUGUGGCAACUUGGGAGUAGUUAGAGGGAUGAAACAGAGGGGGGAGUGUUAUAAUUAUGUUUUAAUUAAAAUAUAUAAAAAUGUAAAGGAAAACCCUCAAUGAAUUUUGUUUUAUGAGUAGGGCAGAAUUUUUCAUAAUUUCUGAAAUGGAUGUAAACAUACUCCUGCACUUUAUACUAUGUAUUUAUGAAGAACGGUGUUCUCAGAAUUGAUGUAUAAAAAUAAAUAUUGAACCAUUUCGACAAACA